GCGCCGCCGCCCACACCACCCCAUUUGUUCCGGCGAUCAUUCCGGCGCUUCCCCGACCUAUUCCCGCGCCGCCGCGGCUUCCUCCUUCUCACUCCAGACGCCGCCGCCCCUCGCGCGCGCCAUUCCUCCGAUGAACAGCGCCCAGCCGCCCACUGCCGCUCGGCGCCCACAAGGUGUUCGACAAAACGUUUGCAAGGUAUGUAUUGCUUCAACUUCACAUUUUUUUACAUGAAUUGGAUGCAUGUUGUUUGUAGUUUUUAUAGCCUAGUUUAAUUUGAACAUUGUAGAUGAGUUCAUCGUAUGAUUUUUAUAGCCAAGAUUUAGACUACUCUCAGUAUGAGGUCUUGGGACAUCUCGUGCGAGUGCGGCGGAGGGCUGUCAGGGUGGCCCGUUUUGUUGCCCCCUAUCAUGCCAUUCGACAUGCCGAAAUGCAUGAUGAUCUUCAGAAGGAUCUCAUUGAGAAGUGGUGGGCAUGGAAUGACCGACAAAGAGCAUCAUGAUUUGUGUGUUUGAUGUUGUAUUGUUGAACUAUUUGGUCUAUUGCAAGAUAAACUAUUGGUUUGAGUUGUAAUAAUGAAAUUGAACUAUUUAUUGUUGAUUUAUUUUGUUUGUGUUUGA
rnacentral:lncRNA from 1 species